rnacentral:rRNA from 1 species
AGAGUUUGAUUCUGGCUCAGAAUCAACGCUGGCGGCGCGCCUAACACAUGCAAGUCGAACGAGAAAGUGGAGCAAUCCAUGAGUAAAGUGGCGUACGGGUGAGUAACACGUGGAUCAUCUACCUUUUAGUGGGGAAUACCGCUGGGAAACCGGCGACAAUACCGCAUAAUCUCGAGAGAGGAAAGCCGCAAGGCGCUGAAAGAGGAGUCCGCGGUCGAUUAGCUAGUUGGUGAGGUAAUGGCUCACCAAGGCUGUGAUCGAUAGCCGGCCUGAGAGGGCACACGGCCACACUGGCACUGAAACACGGGCCAGACUCCUACGGGAGGCAGCAGUGGGGAAUCUUGCACAAUGGGGGCAACCCUGAUGCAGCGACGCCGCGUGAGCGAUGAAGCCCUUCGGGGUGUAAAGCUCUUUCGGCAGGGACGAUAAUGACGGUACCUGCAGAAGCAGCUGCGGCUAACUACGUGCCAGCAGCCGCGGUAAUACGUAGGCAGCAAGCGUUGUUCGGAGUUACUGGGCGUAAAGGGUGCGUAGGCGGUCCUAUAAGUAUGGUGUGAAAUCUCCCGGCUCAACUGGGAGGGUGCGCCGUAGACUGUGGGACUAGAGUGUGGGAGAGGAAAGUGGAA